rnacentral:rRNA from 1 species
ACACUCCUGCGGGAGGCAGCAGUGGGGAAUAUUGCACAAUGGGCGCAAGCCUGAUGCAGCCAUGCCGCGUGUAUGAAGAAGGCCUUCGGGUUGUAAAGUACUUUCAGCGGGGAGGAAGGCGAUAAGGUUAAUAACCUUGUCGAUUGACGUUACCCGCAGAAGAAGCACCGGCUAACUCCGUGCCAGCAGCCGCGGUAAUACGGAGGGUGCAAGCGUUAAUCGGAAUUACUGGGCGUAAAGCGCACGCAGGCGGUCUGUCAAGUCGGAUGUGAAAUCCCCAGGCUCAACCUGGGAACUGCAUUCGAAACUGGCAGGCUAGAGUCUUGUAGAGGGGGGUAGAAUUCCAGGUGUAGCGGUGAAAUGCGUAGAGAUCUGGAGGAAUACCGGUGGCGAAGGCGGCCCCCUGGACAAAGACUGACGCUCAGGUGCGAAAGCGUGGGGAGCAAACAGGAUUAGAUACCCGUGUAGUCCC